AUUAGUUAAAAAUAUAAGUAUAUUUUAACUGAGUAGGGAACAGCAGGAAAUGUCCGGCUCAAAAUAUGGAGCAGCCCAACUUGCGUAGUACCUUGACCUUACAGAAG